rnacentral:rRNA from 1 species
GAUGAACGCUGGCGGCGUGCCUAACACAUGCAAGUCGAGCGAUUUACUUCGGUAAAGAGCGGCGGACGGGUGAGUAACGCGUGGGUAACCUGCCCUGUACACACGGAUAACAUACCGAAAGGUAUGCUAAUACGGGAUAAUAUGCUUUAGUCGCAUGGCUGAAGUAUCAAAGCUCCGGCGGUACAGGAUGGACCCGCGUCUGAUUAGCUAGUUGGUAAGGUAACGGCUUACCAAGGCGACGAUCAGUAGCCGACCUGAGAGGGUGAUCGGCCACAUUGGAACUGAGACACGGUCCAAACUCCUACGGGAGGCAGCAGUGGGGAAUAUUGCACAAUGGGCGAAAGCCUGAUGCAGCAACGCCGCGUGAGUGAUGAAGGCCUUCGGGUCGUAAAGCUCUGUCCUCAAGGAAGAUAGUGACGGUACUUGAGGAGGAAGCCCCGGCUAACUACGUGCCAGCAGCCGCCGUAA